CAAAGUUGAUCUUACUUUUGCCUUGGAAAUUAUAUUUUCUUCUUGUUAUAAUAAUUUUGCUUCCUUGUAUUUGCUUCAUAUAUUUUUAACAUGUUAUUAUUCCACCACAAUGUUAAAUACUAGAAGGGAACAUAGGCAUCGUCGUUUUUUACCUAAUUUUUAGCAAGAAUACAGGCGUAUCUUCUUUGAUUGUGCUUUGUAGAUGAUUGCAUUUUUUAUGAGUGAAAGGUCUGUGACAACCCUGCAUUGAACAAGUAUAUCAGCACCAUUUUUCAAACUUUGUGUCUGUGUCACAUUUUGGUAAGUCUCAUGAUAUUUCAGAUUUUUUAAUUAUUAUGGAUUAGUUAUGGUUUUCCACGAUUAGUGAUCUUUGAUGUUACGAUUACCAAAAGAUUAUGACUCACUGAAGGCUCAGAUGAUGGUUAGCAUUUUUUAGCAAUAAAGUAUUUUUUAAUUCAGGUAUGUGCAUUAUUUUUAGCAUAAUGUUGCACACUUAAUAGACUACAGUAUAAUGUAAAUAAAACUUAGAUGCACUGGAAAAUAAAAAAGUUUGUGUGACUCACUUUAUUGUAAUAUUAGCUUUAUUGCAGUAGUGUGAAACUGAACUUGCAAAUCUCUGAGGUAUACCUGUAUUCCACUUUAUCAUUUCUCUUGUUUAUAAAGAAAACUGAUUGAUAUUAUUCUCAUGUUUCUGUUAUUUCUCACUAGUUUGGGGUUUUAAAAGAUGAUGCAUAUAUUACUAAUUUCUUUUUUAAUAAAUAUCACACCAAAAUAUUUGAGGUGAAAGUUUAUUUUUUUCACAUUAAAUACUGAUGAAUAGAUUGUUUUGAAUUGUUCCCAGUAGUUGGAUCAAAAAUCCACAUUACUGAUUGCCUUAUCAAUUGUGGUAACCAACUUAGAAAAAAACUGUACAAAAAUCUUCCAUGUACCAUCCUAUUGAAAUAAAUCAAGUAUGUUUACAGAAAUCUAGAAUAAGUAAAUAAUGCAGAAUGAAGAGGAAAAGGUAAGCUUUAAAAUGGGGAUGUCAGCCUAACACCAGUCCUGUGUGGUUAUUUACUAUCAAAUCUGACAGUAUCAGACAUCCAAUAUCAUUAUUUUUUAAAGAAGUGGAACUUUUUCCAUUCUGAUUUUAAUAACUUAGCUUUGUCCUCUGGUGUCUCUUUGCUAAGAAGCAUAUUUGAAUGGAUAACCACUGGUAAAAAUUGUGUUAAUUGUGUUCCCUAUGGCUGAGUAUAACAUUGUGUUAUGUUAGCUAACCAAAUGCACUAAGACAUGAAUACCUGCAGUUAAUUAAUUUGUUUACAUUGACUCAGUGAGCAAGUGCCUUCUAUAACUAAUGUUAUUCUGCCCUCUACUGCUUCAAACUGAAAUCUCCUAUACAUUCCAGGUGGAGAAGAAAAUGGCAACCCACUCCGGUAUUCUUGCCUGGAGAAUCCCAUGGACAGAGGAGCCUGGCAGGCUACAGUCCAAGGGAUUGCAAGAGUUGGACACGACUUAGCAACUAAACCACCAACAAUACAUCCCAGAAAAAGAGCUUCAAGGAACUGGAGACUUGAGUUCCAAGCAGCGUAAUCAGGAGGCUGGUCUCUGUACCAGUGCUUGAAGCCCAAGAUGGAAUCAAGAUUGCCAGGAGAAAUAUUAAAAACCUCAGAUAGAAAGAUGACACCACCUUUAUG